GUGGAUCCCUCGGCUUGUGGGUCGAUGAAGAACGGAGCAAACUCCGUGUUGUCGUGUGAACUGCAGGACACAUGAACAUCGACACUUUGAACGCAAAUGGCGGCCCUCGGUCUUUGCACCUUGGGCCACUCCUGGCUGAGGGUCGGUUUAAAGAAACGAUUACCAGACUGCCCAAGCGACAGCACACACCUCGUGUGUGUUGGAGCGGGCGAGCUUGGGGUUCUGCUCCCUUUGCGGAGUAGUUCCCUUAAAUGCCUUGAGGCAGAGGCUUCUCUCAGUCUUACUGAUUAUAAGGAAAUCAGUUCGUCGCAAGAUGAACCCUGAUGGACUUGGUCGGUUCGACACGAAAAAGCACGCAAACUUGAGAGUACGUCUCUUUGCCUCACGCAUUCUACAAUCAAAAGUUCAGUUGAAAACAAGUAGUUGGGCGUGAAGACCCCAGCGAACGGGUGCAGUACAGGACUCGAAGCUCGUGCAUUUAGCGUGCGCCUGAGUGGAAUGUGUUGUGCUGCAUCACUGAAUAAAAACGAUUCGAAUGCAUUUUGUAAUCCGACCUCAGUUCAGGAGAGACUACCCCCGAGAUUUAAGCAUAUUAAUACGGGGAGGAAAAGAAACUAAC
rnacentral:sRNA from 1 species